UCCCUGCAGCAGUUUGAGGUUAAAUAGAGAAUGGGGAAAUAAAGUGAGAGCUGGUUUGAUGUUUUGAGGUUGUAUCCAGUAGCAUUUGCAGGCACAGACGUCAUCUGCCCAUUUCCCUCGCCAUCCACUUUCCUUUCCCUUUCCCUAUGCGCUUACAGAGUCCUGUUGUCACGGAGAUGCUGGCUUUUCCAAUGCCUUCAUCGAUCAUCAAACAGGAAGAGUAAAGCCUCCCAGUUCCAGAUAUUGUUGAUAAGACGAGAGCACUGUUCUAUCAGACACUGACGGCUGGUACAAGU